GGAGUCUCAAAAAGUUGGCGCAUCAGGAAGAAGACGACGAACUCCGGCCCCGGCUCUGCCUCAAGAAAGAAAUAGGAAGAGAGAGGAUUAUUCAAAGGAAACCGGUGGAAUGUUUAACGCUCAACCAAAUCAGUUAUUAUGGUAGACGAUUUAUUUUGAAAGCGACCGGUUCUGAUUCAAGUACAGUGGGCAUAUGAAGUGUCCUACAUGGUGCGAAAAUUGAACUCUAGUAACAAAAAGGUAGAAUUCAUCAAUCCUAGUAAUCUCACACGGGGUCUAUGAAGAGAUAAAUUAAGUAGUAAUUUAUCAGUGUGAAGGAGGAUUUUUUUUUCUCAUUUUUGUUGAGAUUCGAAUUGUUAUCCUACGAUAAUAACUCUACCAUGCAUUAGUCAACUUAAUCUUAUCCCAGGGGUGUAAAAAUUGAACUUUUAGUUGUAUAAGUACUUAUCAUAACUCUCAUCAUUGUAUCGUGCCUUCGGGGCGUAGAUGAUCUUUUAUUGAUUCACCAAUUGGAUACA